UGGGGAAUAUUGGACAAUGUGGGGAACCCUGAUCCAGCCAUGCCGCGUGUGUGAAGAAGGCCUUAUGGUUGUAAAGCACUUUAAGCGAGGAGGAGGGUACUGGUAUUAAUACUACCAGGUACUGGACGUUACUCGCAGAAUAAGCACCGGCUAACUCUGUGCCAGCAGCCGCGGUAAUACAGAGGGUGCGAGCGUUAAUCGGAUUUACUGGGCGUCAAGCGUGCGUAGGCGGCUAAUUGAGUCGGAUUUGAAAUCCCCGAGCUUAACUUGGGAAUUGCAUUCGAUACUGGUUAGCUAGAGUGUGGGAGAGGAUGGUAGAAUUCCAGGUGUAGCGGUGAAAUGCGUAGAGAUCUGGAGGAAUACCGAUGGCGAAGGCAGCCAUCUGGCCUAACACUGACGCUGAGGUACGAAAGCAUGGGGAGCAAACAGG
rnacentral:rRNA from 1 species